rnacentral:lncRNA from 1 species
ACAUAUGAGAGCGUGCUAUUCUUGAGUUUUCAACUUCCCAUUAUCUUGGUCAUGAUUAUUGGUCAUGGAAACUUCUUGCUCAUGAUUUCAUUAUUAUCUUGUAUGAAUUUGUUGGAGCCAAAUAAUCUUGACCUUGAUCUUGGGUCUUGAGUCUUGGCUUCAUCGAUGGUCAUUUUCGUCCUCAUGAACUUCCCAAAGCAUGUGCUUGCUCAAUCGGCGGUCCCUUUAUCUGUAUAACUCAUCCAAUUCAACCUCCUUUUAGUUUUUCAACAAUUUCUUCGCUUCUUGAGUUCUUCCAUGAGUUGUUUAAGCUACUAAGUGCCAGAGAGUACUGAGUGUGCAUCAUUUUCAUGGCUAGCUUCAUAUGAUCAAGGUACUAUCAUCGAAACCCCUCUUAAUAGUACGGUCCAUGAGCUACAAACUAGCAAAACCUACAUUAAAGCACCUAAGCCUAUCUUAAAAGAUGAAUCUAUUGCUUCUUCCAAAAAUAACCAUGCUAGGGUGAAAGAACUUGAAGAAGAAGUGAAAAGCUUAGGCUCUUGUGUCAGAAAAAUGGCUAGAGGUGAGUACUUGCACAAGGAGAUUCUCUUCUACAAUGCAAGAAGGUUUGGCACAAUAGGACUUGGCUCCUUCCCAGAGCCCGUGGAGAACCUUUCCAAGUCACCGGAACUUAAAGGGUGCUUUGUCAAGGAGAUUGGGUCCUAUUGUCAACAUUGCAAGAUCACCGGUCAUCACACAAGAGAGUUCCCCCUUCCUAAUAGUCCCCC